UACAGAGGUCUCAAGCGUUGUUCGGAUUCAUUGGGCGUAAAGAGCUCGUAGGCGGCUUGUCACGUCGGGUGUGAAAGCCCGGGGCUUAACCCCGGGUCUGCAUUCGAUACGGGCUAGCUAGAGUGUGGUAGGGGAGAUCGGAAUUCCUGGUGUAGCGGUGAAAUGCGCAGAUAUCAGGAGGAACACCGGUGGCGAAGGCGGAUCUCUGGGCCUUACCUGACGCUGAGGAGCGAAAGCGUGGGGAGCGAACAGG
rnacentral:rRNA from 1 species